GUCCUGCCCUGGGCAUUCCUGUCGUCUCCUUUUCAGUCACUGAACGUCCUCUCCUCAUUUUAUUUAAGGCGUAAAGGACGCUUGGCGUGGAUCGGACCCUCAGAAUAAAAGAUGUGUAUUGCUUUCAUUUGCUAUGACUCUGCAGCUGUAAGAAGCAGAAGGAGGGAAUCACUGUCAAGCCUUUUCCUGGAGGAACAGUAAUAUAUCACCAAACUCAUCAGAAAGGUCAUGUCCUGGAGGAAAUGACCGUGGAGCAAAUGGUUCCAAUUGCAGCUGAGGUUGAUGAUGGCGAUUAUGACAUUCUCUACAUUGGCGAUUUGAUCCAAGGUGACCAAAGUCACUGUGUCAGCCCAGGAAUCCCUGCGGCUUGUAUCGUAAAGAGAAGAUGGCCCCCGGCAAACACGUGCACGUUGUGAAGCACAAGCCGAGCACAAUCGUGUUCUCCAAGGAGAGCAUGUGGGUGGUGAUGACUGAAAUUGCAAAGAGGGACCUGAUGUGGUCCAGAAAGCUGUUUUUAAGGCCAUGUUUACCCACCGGACACACUGUUGAUGAUGCACACGCAUGCUUGGCCUUCUCUGAGCACAGCAAUUAUGAGACUGUCGAAAACCAGAGAGACAGACAACCAUGUGGCAUCCAUGACCUCUUUGAAGAUCAGUACCAUAGAGGUCACAGGGAACUGGAACCUAACCCAGCAACACAGGGCAUAAGGCUGGAGGGGGAGGGAACACACCCAGGACGGGAUGCCAGACUGUCGCAAGGCACCCCAACCAGGACUCAAACCCCAGACCCACCAGAGAGCAGGACCUAGUCCAACCCACUGCACCCCCCAUGUAAGAUAUAUCGG
rnacentral:lncRNA from 1 species